AACGAACGCUGGCGGCAGGCUUAACACAUGCAAGUCGAACGCAUCCUUCGGGGUGAGUGGCAGACGGGUGAGUAACGCGUGGGAACGUGCCCUUCAGUUCGGGAUAACCCAGGGAAACUUGGGCUAAUACCGGAUACGUGCGAGAGCAGAAAGAUUUAUCGCUGAAGGAUCGGCCCGCGUCUGAUUAGCUAGUUGGUGGGGUAAUGGCCCACCAAGGCGACGAUCAGUAGUUGGUCUGAGAGGAGGAUCAGCCACACUGGGACUGGGACACGGCCCGGACUCCUACGGGAGGCAGCAGUGGGGAAUAUUGGACAAUGGGCGCAAGCCUGAUCCAGCCAUGCCGCGUGAGUGAUGAAGGCCUUAGGGUUGUAAAGCUCUUUCAGUGGGGACGAUAAUGACGGUACCCGCAGAAGAAGCCCCGGCUAACUUCGUGCCAGCCGCCGCGGUAA
rnacentral:rRNA from 1 species